AUGCCUCGUCAGAAAAAUAGCAAAUCCAUAAGGACUGAAUGCCCUUCAAUCAUUUGAUUGACCCUUCACAAUGACAAUCUAUGGUACAUCAAUGAAUUCGGGUAUGAUCAUAACCAUCCGUUAUCAAGAAGUGGUUCUGAGAAGACGCAUUGGAAAUCCCAUCAUCAUGUUGAUAUAUACCUUCAACAACUAAUAACCAAUAUGAGAGCAAACAAUGUUCACAUGUGGAAGGUGUACAUGUUUCUUGGUAUUUUCUUUGGGAGGAUGGAAAACAUUCCUUUCAGUAAAUGCAGCUUAAAAACUUUAAGUGGUCACAUCAAUAAAGAGCUUGCUCAUGAUAAUGUCAAAAAGACAUUUGAUGUUUUUGAUCAUAUAUGUUUUCAAGAUCCUGAUUUCGCCUACCGGGUUCAGGCUAACUCACAAAGCAGAAUUGAUACUUUACUCUGGAUAAAUGGUCGUAGUCGAUCAAAAUAUAAAUACUUUGGAGAUAUUAUUACUUUUAAUACAACUUAG
rnacentral:rRNA from 1 species